UUUAAUUUUUUUUUUUUUUUGAAAAACCCUUUUUCGCUCAAAGAAAUAAAGUAAAAGAGAGUGAAUAUUCAUAAAUGGGAGCAGUGUACGAAUGAUAAAUGAAAAUAGGUAAGAAUAAUAAUUAUUAAGUAAAUUUAAUAUAUAUUUAAUCUUAUAUGAAAUAAACUUAAUGAUCAGCUAAUCAAAUAUUUAUUUAUAAUGAGAUUUGUAUAAAAUUAUUAAAUUUAUUAUUAUAUGAGUUGAAAUUUUUCAUACUUACAUCCUUAAAUCAUUUUUAGGAUGAAUGGUAAAUAAUUACUCUUAUGGGUGCAUUAAUUGAAUUUUGUUGCAUCCAUUCAUGGAGGUAUUAUAAUCCACAAAUCACUAUACAUUAUGAUCGAAUCUAAGAAAAUAUGGCUAGGUUUUUAAUGUGUACUUUGACAGCGACCCUAGAUGCCUAAAGUUAAAAAUAUCUACAAUGUGAAAGAAUUGUUAGAUUGUAGUGCUCAAAUGUAGAUACAUGUUGCUGUUAUUGUAACUUUGUGUUCACUCUCAGGAACAUCGAUAUUUUUUGAAGAAUAAGAAAAGGCAUAACUAAAAACUUUUUAUAAGACAAUGAAAUCUUCAAUCCUGUUACUUUUUUUUUUUUUAACUGUUU
rnacentral:misc_RNA from 1 species